rnacentral:rRNA from 1 species
UACAGGGGGGGGCAAGCGUUGUUCGGAAUUACUGGGCGUAAAGGGCUCGUAGGCGGCCAACUAAGUCACACGUGAAAUCCCCAGCUUAACCUGGGGAACUGCGUGUGAUACUGGAUGGCUUGAAUCCGGGAGAGGGAUGCAGAAUUCCAGGUGUAGCGGUGAAAAUGCGUAGAUAUCUGGAGGAAUACCGGUGGCGAAGGCGGCAUCCUGGACCGGCAUUGACGCUGAUGGAGCGAAAAAGCU